UAGAAAUGGAUAUUAACUGACACAUACACGCAAGACGGUGGAAAUAGGGGGAGUUACUAAAGUAAACUACUGUAUUUUCCUUCUUUAUCUUACCUUACACUCUUAAAAACAUAUUGGUUAAAAAUAACUUUAGCCCCAAACAUAGCAACAUGUAGGCUUACCCUUUCUGGAACAUUUAUGUAGGCCUACCUUUUAUAAAUAAUUCACAAAAAGGCCUAAACAGUAAUGUGUCACUCAAAUGUUGUUGGGGGAGUGGAUUUUGGAGCAACCGUUACUUUUUUCUUAAAGUCAACUUCAGUCCUCCUCACUCACUCUCACCAAGUGAUACAGCAACUUUCAACAGGGGAGCUUCUGGAGUGUGAGAGAAAAGACGUUUGUAGGAUGGAAUAAUCUUUGUGGAAGAGGAGGCACAGCUAUUCAGAGGGGUCCCUCCAAUGCAGAAUAUGGGCAGAAUAAGUGCUAACAAUGAAGUACCUGUCCAGAAGGAUCUAACAGCUAUGUUUUUAGUCAGGAUUAAUCCUGACUCCAACAAGUGCACUGCCAAGGAGCAGAUGAGCAAGACAACUGAGAGAGUGGUGAAGCAGAAGACGUCAUACAUGAACCCCCAUGUAAUCUCCUUCAUCAGGGACCUCACUGAAUUCUAUUUGCUAACUGACUAGAUGCAGGACAACUGGGAUUCUGGCUCUCCAAGGUCAGGGGACCAUAGACCUUUAUAUCAAGUGGCAGGGGAAUGAUAUUUGUAAGAAGUUUCUUUUCAUUUAUGUUUUAAAUGUUCAUGCACAUGUUCAUUAUUGUUUUAUUUUAUUUCAAUAUUGCCAUUGUGUUAAUCAUUGCUCUUUAAAACGUGCAAAUAAGGUUGGUUAUUUUUUUUGACCGUAUUUUAUCAAUUCACGUUAUUGUUCCAUCAUGUUAACUUUGAAUAGUCUAAUGGCGUGUCGUCCAUUAUCCCUAACUUAUGUUGUACCUGUUUUGUCAUGUUCCUGU